UCCCUGGUGGCUAAGAUGGUAAAGAACCUGCCUGCAAUGCAGGAGAUCCUGGUUCAAUCCCUGGGUUGGGAA
rnacentral:tRNA from 1 species